CGAUGGAGGGGGAUAACUACUGGAAACGGUAGCUAAUACCGCAUAACGUCGCAAGACCAAAGAGGGGGACCUUCGGGCCUCUUGCCAUCGGAUGUGCCCAGAUGGGAUUAGCUAGUAGGUGGGGUAAAGGCUCACCUAGGCGACGAUCCCUAGCUGGUCUGAGAGGAUGACCAGCCACACUGGAACUGAGACACGGUCCAGACUCCUACGGGAGGCAGCAUG
rnacentral:rRNA from 1 species